CCUACGGGAGGCAGCAGUGGGGAAUAUUGCACAAUGGGGGAAACCCUGAUGCAGCGACGCCGCGUGAGUGAAGAAGUAAUUCGUUAUGUAAAGCUCUAUCAGCAGGGAAGAAAAUGACGGUACCUGAGUAAGAAGCCCCGGCUAACUACGUGCCAGCAGCCGCGGUAAUACGUAGGGGGCAAGCGUUAUCCGGAUUUACUGGGUGGAAAGGGAGCGUAGACGGCAGUGCAAGUCUGGAGUGAAAGGCGGGGGCUCAACCCCCGGACUGCUCUGGAGACUGUACGGCUGGAGUGCAGGAGAGGUAAGUGGAAUUCCUAGUGUAGCGGUGAAAUGCGUAGAUAUUAGGAGGAACACCAGUGGCGAAGGCGGCUUACUGGACUGUAACUGACGUUGAGGCUCGAAAGCGUGGGGAGCAAACAGGAUUAGAUACCCUAGUAGUC
rnacentral:rRNA from 1 species